AAUUAUUUCUGAUUGAAGAACUAUUUCUUUUACCUGGAGAUGAAGAGAGAAUGGAGCUGGCUGCUCUGAUGGACCCCAGAGAUACAGCUCAUCUGAGCCCACUGGACCAGUCUUUGCCUCCAGCCCCUCCCAUCUCCUCCAGCCCUGCACUCGGUGCCUGCCAUCCUACUUUCUUCCCUAAAUACAUGAGUGCCCUGGAAGAUUUCAAAAUGGUUGUUCCUGAUGGAAGAGUGAAUUUUCCUCCAGUCCUCACAGUGAGAACUUAGUGCGGAUCCUGAAGUCCUAGGGUUCUCCCAGGUCUCUUGCUGACUGCUCUUCUCCAAAGGCCCACUCCAGGGAACGUCUAGAGAACAUCCAGGGACAUAGCAGCAGUCACAUGACACAGGAGUGCCAGCAAUAAUGUUGUUUUGGAACUUUGUCUACAAAAUCUUCUCCAAACUGUUGCUGGGAAAGAAGACGAUGGUAAGAGUUGCUCACCCUGACGUGAACUGUGGCAACCAGUAUAGAGGGGUCUGUUGGCUGGAGGAGGAGCCCCCCAAGCCUCAUCAGUGUUGGGAGUGUCCUGAGUCUUGGCCCAGGUGGGACUGAGCUUCAGACCAAGUCUUUGGGAGGCACCGUUAGAAGAUACAAAGCUGCCUGGAGCCGGGGUGGAGCUACCAGUAGAAGAAUCAGGGAAGGAAGCAAGCAGAGGAUGGCAGUGUGGUUAAGGCUGCAGAAGCAGAACUAGAGAUGCUCAUGCUGGAGUAGAUCCGGGAGAGCACCAGCAUUACUGUUUGCAAUAAUUCUUUUAAAUUAUUUUGAGAGAUACUUUUUUAACCUUUAAGAAUCAGUGUAGUUACAUUUAUAAUACUUUCUGUAUCAGUUUUUAGGUGUUAGAAACUGGCAAGAAGCCUGAGAGGAGGCUUAAUUCAGAAAAAUCUAUCUUUUUCAACAGUGUCAAUGUGAAAAACCUUUUUACAAAUGAAUUUUGGCUCUCAGGCACUGAUAAACUGAGGCAUUCUAGUGUAUGAUAUGGCCACCAUUUUCAAAUGAAAAAGCAAGCACUUGCUGUAUCUAUGCUGCUAUGUGUGCAUGAGUUAACCUGCUUUUAUGGUUGUAUUUUUUUGUGUUGAAUAUCUAUUUUUGAGU